rnacentral:rRNA from 1 species
GUGCCAGCAGCCGCGGUAAUUCCAGCUCCAAUAGCGUAUAUUAAAGUUGUUGUGGUUAAAAAGCUCGUAGUUGAACCUUGGGCCUGGCUGGCCGGCCCGCCUCACCGCGUGCACUGGUCCGGCCGGGCCUUUCCCUCUGUGGAACCCCAUACCCUUCACUGGGCGUGGGGAGACAGCAGGUCUAUUACUAUGAAAAAAUUAGAGUGCUCCAGGCAGGCCUAUGCUCGAAUACAUUAGCAUGGAAUAAUAAAAUAGGACGCGCGGUUCUAUUUUGUUGGUUUAUAGCACCGCCGUAAUGAUUAAUAGGGACAGGCGGGGGCAUCAGUAUUCAACUGUCAGAGGUGAAAUUCUUGGAUCAGUUGAAGACUAACUACUGCGAAAGCUUUUGCCAAGGAUGUUUUCAUUAAUCAGGAACGAAAGUUAGGGGAUCGAAGACGAUCAGAUACCGUCGUAGUCUUAACCAUAAACUAUGCCGACUAGGGAUCGGACGGUGUUAUUCAUGACCCGUUCGGCAUCAUACGAGAAAUCAAAGUGCUUGCGCUCCAGGAGAGUAUGCUCGCGAGGCUGAUACUUAAAGAAUGUGACGGGAGGGCCACCACCAGGGGUGGAGCGUGCUGUUUAAUUUGACUCAACACGGAACACCUCACCAGGUCAGACACAAUAAGGAUUGACAGAUUGAGAGCUCUUUCUUGAUUGUGGGGGGGGGGGCUGCAUGCCCGCUCUGAGUGGGGGGGGUGACUUGUCUGCUUUAUUGCGAUAACGAACGAGACCUUCAUCUGCUAAAUAGCCCUGCAUUGCUCGGGCAGGUGCGCUGGCUUCAUAAGAGUGACUUUCCGCUUCAAGCCGAAGGAAGUUAGAAGCAAUGACCGGGCCUGU